rnacentral:rRNA from 1 species
GGACUACUGGGGUAUCUAAUCCUGUUUGAUCCCCACGCUUUCGGGUUUGAGUGUCAGUGUCUGUCCAGUUACCCGCCUUCGCCUCCGGUAUUCCUCCUGAUAUCUACGUAUUUCACCACUACACCAGGAAUUCCAGUAACCUCUCCAGCACUCAAGUUUCGCAGUAUCGAAUGCACUUCCAGGGUUGAGCCCUGGGCUUUCACACCCGACUUACAAAACCACCUACACCCGCUUUACGCCCAAUGAUUCCGAACAACGCUUGGAUCCCUCGUCUUACCGCGGCUGCUGGCAC